rnacentral:lncRNA from 1 species
UUUUCAUUACAUGAUACACGUGAAUUACAUAGCAGAAUUACAAUGUCGAUACCAUCUAUGCCCUUCCAUACAUCCUAUACAUCCCCAAGUCACACUUUGCUCACCUCCCUUGAUCAUGCACAACUCACUCUAGGGCCAUAAAAUUCAUCACCACUUCACACACCUUCUUUCUGUCUCCCAAAAUCUUCCACAUAAGUUCCACUUCACUCUCAAUCUACCCCUAUAAAAGUGACCCUUCACUCACUCAUUACACACACAUAAAAAUCCCUAGUAAAACUCUGCAUAAAAUCCCUCUAAACCUUAUCACCAAAGUUUAGGGCUAUCCCCUACACAACACCAGAAGACAAAAGAAGGAGAAGAGGAAUUUAGAAGAAGUGAGUAGAAUAAGAGGACACAUCAAAUGAAGAAGGAGAAUAUUAGAGUUACAUACCUGAAGGUUGGAGGCUUCGCCGAAGUUCUCGUAGGAAAAUUGGAAAUUCCAAUUUUCGGCAAGGUGUCUUUCUCCAUUAUUUUCAUAUCUAUUUACCUAUUUCCUUGCACAUAUGUUAUUCUAAUGCUUUAAAUUACUUUAAUAUGUUGUAAUUUGUGAAAAAUCAUUGAAAAAAAGGGGUUAGGAUUUUGUUUGGGAAUAAAGUUGACAUGCUUUGAUUAUGUUUGUUUUGGUUAUUUGGUUGUUGAAUUCGCGUUAAGAAGAAAAAAUGGAGGGGGAUUUGUGUUGUUAGAUUUCAAUUUGGGUGAGUUUGGGCCGGAACUUGGAAAUCAAGAAGAUGAACAUUCAUAUGUUCAUCUUCAGUUCUUCCCCGACCACCGUACUAGAUCUAAAAAAGUUAAAAAUAAAUAUUGAGACUGUGUUUGUGGUUGAAGAGAGAGGAGAGAACAAUCUGAAGAGAGAGGGAAAAAAUGAAAAAAUGACUCACAUAGACUACAUCCCGCACAUCUCUAUCCCUCAGAUUGGAUGACUUUGGCCUUUGACUAUGGGACCCCACCAUGAUCAUAUGCGCCUUCUUUUUCCAGCCAUUAGAUAAAGACUAAUUUCAUAGCAUAUUGAUCAGACACAUGAGGAUGAGUCAACAUUUUUUACUCCAUUGGCCAUGUUGAUCGGGCCAGACGCCCUUUGGGCCUUGCCGCGCCCUGGCCAAUUGCUAUUCGCCCCCUUGUUUUUUGCUACGUUAUUUAUUUUAUUAUUUUGGUGGUGUGCCUUUAGCCAAUGUUA